GGGAGAGUGGCAGGAGAGGCAGGGCCUGAAUGGCAGUCCAGCACAGCAGGGAGGGCUGAGCCUGGACCUGAGGAGAUCGGGAGGUGGAUGUGCUGUUCAGCACAGGAUCGGUACCAGCGGGGAGGGGGGAAAGACUAUGGGCAGUGUGUUGCCCUAGGGGACACUUUUUUUCUUCUCUGUUGAAAAUAGCAUCAGUGCUGACUGCAGCUGAAGCCUCGUUUCUUGUAAAUGACUUCAAUCAUAACAGAAUUAGUGUGACCACAGCCCCAGCACGGGAACAGGCCCUGCUUGGCAUUCAAGCUCCUCCUCCUCCUGAGCACUCAGUAGCACUCCACAGCUUAAACAAACAGCUUUCUGCAUUUCUACAGGUGCAGAGUACUGUAAAUUCCCUAUUUGACCUUGCUGGUGCUUUAUUAAAACUGAGGAUGAGAGAUUUGACAGCUGAAAUUACUACAGAAAUCUUCAGGAAGCUCAUGCUGUGCCCCUUAGGCGUGACAUCACUCUUAAAUCAGUGUACCCAGCCCCUUUGGAGCAGGCGUUGGCCGCGGACAGAGUCGAGAGGUGCUGCGGGGGAAAUCCGAGCACGAAAGCCCUCUGAGGCCCCAGGGAGUCCAGGGGACACUAGAGGUAGGUGAUGGAAGAGGCUCUGAUGGAAGCUACCUCAAAACGUGCGGGGGAAAUGGCAAGAAAAGCAAGCAAGCAACCACUGUGGGGUGGUUUAACGUGAAAAUAGCUGCUCUUCUCAGAGCUAACAGGUAAACAUGGACAGAAGAGGUAAGAGGACUUAAUGUAUAACUUAAAAGAAAGGACAAAAUAUUAGGCCAAUAAUCUCAAAGUACAAAAAGCAUUCAUAGAAGCUUAUGAUCCUUCCACUGAGAAGACUGUAAAGAAGCUACAAUGGGGUUUGAGUUCUUAAAGCAGAAUUUCCCUGGGGUUUUCUCCAGAGUAAUCAGAAUUAAAAGUAGUUGUUCAAAUCCCAGCUAUAUUUAUAACCUUGCCAGUAGCCAGUGCAGGAGACUUGGAAUGCUCUCCUGCUCACCCAGAAGGAGAUUUGAAACCUCAAAUACCAUACCCGUAUCUUAUGUGCUCCCUUAAGCAGGCCCAGUAAAGUGUGCUUUCUUCCAAAGAGGAUGUUUCUUAGUUAACCACCACAUUUUAGAGGUCAAGAAGUUUCCAAGUAGUUAAUAUGAUGUUUUGUGGCAAUGCAAAGGAAAUGUCUCUGUCAAGUGAUUAAGGGGAGACGGGAUGGCAAUGCCUUGUGAGUUGUCCUUUGGGAUGAAAUUGAGGAAAUGUAUUUCUUGCUUUGAGACUAAAUAUUCUUUUCAAAAUCCAGUGUGAUCACAGACUGACAUAACCUGAUGGCAAUACAGCGCCUUACAGUGAUGUGCAGCCUGUGUACAAUAGGUGAAUCUUGAAAUUUCUGAUGAUGUUUUAGCUACCAAAAUUUACUGCUUAUGUUCUGUCAUGCAAGAGCAUAGUUGCCAUGAAUUUGAAGAAGCAGUGUGUCAUUAAUUUUAAGUCCUUGCACAGAGAUUCACUUUAUGCUCAGACACCUCUCUCAAGUUUUGAGCAUCAGAGCUUUAGUCAAGGUUUGGCAUAAUCUGCUGGAGGAAGCUCAUUUGCUUUACUGUAUAAAGAAAAAGCAUGAAGGACUGGUGAAACUGAAACUUCCCUUAGAAUUUGAAUAUGCAAUAUUGCCACUCUUUGGCAUAGUGUGCUUCAUGCAGGAGUAGAUUCCAUGGCUGGUUUGGAUAUGGCACUGUUGGUGUACACACAGGUACUACAGCCAGGCCUUGCCCUUAAAAACUUAAAGUACUUUGGCAAGACAAAGUCUCCUUCCUCCCCCAGCUCUUCAAAGAAAAGGGUUUUGAAGGGCUUAACUCUGUCAAGAUAAGGUAAAUAAAACCAAAAGUACAGCUCAGAUUAUUUUAACUCCUCCCCCAGCCCCCAGAGCGUUCAUCGAGCUCCUUCCCUGGCUGUGGCUUCUAGGGGCAGAGCGCUUCAUGGCUGUAAUGCAACACAUUGGGAUGCGAGUUUCUCACAUGAGAGAGAGUUGGCUGAAGGUUGCUGUAGAUGUGCCAGGAAAGCUGUUUCACUCUCAUGUAAUUUUUAAUUUUGUAAGAUCACAGGGGAAAGAAAGAUCCUGCAGGUGCACAUGCAGUCUGCCAUGGGCUGAGUAGUGCAGCUGACAAAGUGUCCAUCCAAUAAGUCGUGUUCACUGAGCAGGAAUGUGGUAAUAAUAUCCAGUUGCAAAGCUUCAGAGCUUGGCAAGGCUCGAAUGGGUAGGUGAACUCCCAUUUACAGAGGAGAAUGAUGGAGUGAACCUGCCAGCUUGGACACCAGAAGCCAAAUGUGUCAGGCUGCUGCUCAUGGAGUUUGACACCAUCCCUAUGUGAACCAUAGUGUAAGUGCUCCAUGAAGUGCCUUAGAAAGGCUUGCCCAGGAGAAAUGGGCUUCAGCUGUAGUGUGCGAAGGAGAUUUGCCUAGCGAAUGAAGUUUCUGUGAUAGGAGUUGAGGGUUUAGAUGUGAGGGUUCCACAAAUUGAGAUUUCUUGGGAAAUCUUCAGUUUUACCCACUCAUGUUUUGGUUUUGCAUCUCUCCAUUCCCAUCCUUCCGUUUCCUUUCCUGCAUCCUCUCCCUUGCCUUAACCCCCGGCAGUGUGUGCCUUGGGAGGGGCUCCGUGCCAGUGGCAUCCCGCAGGGUGCGGUCACGGUACCCAGCAGAGGGCAGUACCGAAAGGGGAACCAGGGCCGAGCUGCUGGACAGAGCAUCUGGGGGAGCAUCUCUGCAUAAAGGACUGAAGGUGAAAGCACUGCUGCCAGUCCAGGUGAUUCUGACCCGUGCUCAGAAAGAAGCAAAAUCUGGAAAGAAAAUUAUUGGGAGACAUUACCCCAUCUUCCUUUCUCUCUUGUUUCUAGAGCAGGAAAGUAAAUGCUUUGCUCUGAAGGUUCAUAUCAGUAAACCUCCGAAAGUUAGGAUAAAGAAGAAACUCAGCUUUAGUUAAAAAUGAAAAUCCUUAGCCCUAUAUUUUGUAAACAUUGUUUUGAAAAAUGACAGAAAAUUCAGAGGAAUUUCUGGGCAUUAGUGCAGCAGGAGCAUGGCUUACUGGCUAGAAAGAGGACAAAGGUGACAGGGAAUCUGUUUAGAAAGCCCUGGGAAUAGGGAUGCCAGGUAAGAUCAACCAGAAGGCAGCAAGAGAAAAAACAUGGUGCUGAAGAUGGAUCUGGAGGUGGGUGAAUACUGUUUCUGUUGGGAAUACAUGAGACAUUUGCCUGUUGGUUAGUUUUCCAAACCCCACACUCUUAGCCAAACUAUCAGCAAAUGCAGGCAGAGCUUUUUCUAUUUGUGCUCCAAGCCUUUCCUUACCCUCUGAAACCACCAGGAGGGAUGAGGUUGUGAUACCAUGUGUGGUAUUCCCCAGUAUAAAUUCCAUUAUGGGGCAUUCCACA